rnacentral:rRNA from 1 species
GAUGAACGCUGGCGGCGUGCCUAAUACAUGCAAGUCGAGCGAACGGACGAGAAGCUUGCUUCUCUGAUGUUAGCGGCGGACGUGUGAGUAACACGUGGAUAACCUACCUAUAAGACUGGGAUAACUUCGGGAAACCGGAGCUAAUACUGGAUAAUAUUCUGAACCGCAUGGUUCAAAAGUGAAAGACGGUCUUGCUGUCACUUAUAGAUGGAUCCGCGCUGCAUUAGCUAGUUGGUAAGGUAACGGCUUACCAAGGCAACGAUGCAUAGCCGACCUGAGAGGGGGAUCGGCCACACUGGAACUGAGACACGGUCCAGACUCCUACGGGAGGCAGCAGUAGGGAAUCUUCCGCAAUAGGCGAAAGCCUGACGGAGCAACGCCGCGUGAGUGAUGAAGGUCUUCGGAUCGUAAAACUCUGUUAUUAGGGAAAAACAUAUGUGUAAGUAACUGUGCACAUCUUGACGGUACCUAAUCAGAAAGCCACGGCUAACUACGUG